ACGCUCGACACCUACGGGAGCAGCAGUGGGGAAUAUUGCACAAUGGGGGAAACCCUGAUGCAGCGACGCCGCGUGGAGGAAGAAGGUCUUCGGAUUGUAAACUCCUGUUGUUGGGGAAAAAGAGGAUGGUACCCAACAAGGAAGUGACGGCUAACUACGUGCCAGCACGCCGUAGUACGUUAUCGNGGGCGGCGGGUCGAGGACGAGC
rnacentral:rRNA from 1 species